rnacentral:lncRNA from 1 species
UUGUGGCUUGAUUAUGCUAUUUAUGAAUCAACCAAUGAUCUCUUUUGGAGAGAGCUGUUUGCAUUAUUUGUUGUUUAUUUGCUGGGUUUUAUUGUAAGAGUGUUGGCUGAGUAGGUUGGGUGACAAAUAAUGCAUCACUAUUUGUUGAAGCAAAAUGAUACAAGAAAAAGUUUGAUGAUUUGCAUAAUGCUUUCUUAAAGCAAAUGGAACAGUAAGCAUUAGAAUCUGUGACAUAUUUAGGAGUAGGGUGCAUGAGUCUCUAAAGUAAUGUAUAACCCUCUUUUUUAUUCUAGUAUUUUUUUUUUUGCAUUUGGGUUAAUUGCAGGAGGAAGAUUCAUAAAGAUUUAGUGGACCUGGAAAAGCUUCAAGUAAAGCUGGCAGAUGAAAGUCUACUUGAGGCUUGUGACCUUAAAAGGAGCUUAAAACUGGUGACACUGUUUGAAGCACAAUUGAAAGUAAUGAAUCUGAAUCUCGAUUCCAUCUCAAAGUAUGCAUUCUGUACACACAAAGAAAGUAAUGAAUCUAAAUCUCGAGUCCAUCUCAAAGUAUGCAUUUUGUAUACACAUAAAGUAGGACACUUGGUGUAUUUUUCACUAUUUCACUUUGCUAAGGGGGCACUCAGUAUGACAAAUAUCAAAAGAAAGUAAUCCAUUAGCAUGAUAAUGUAAAAAGGUAAAUGAAUUGAGAAAGAGAAGGCAACGGUUCCCUUCUCUUAGAAUCUNNNNNNNNNNNNNNNNNNNNNNNNNNNNNNNNNNNNNNNNNNNNNNNNNNNNNNNNNNNNNNNNNNNNNNNNNNNNNNNNNNNNNNNNNNNNNNNNNNNNUUUAAUCGCUACUUAUUUUUUUUAAAAGCAAAAUGUUACUACUUGUGGAUUUCCAGUUCAUCACCUGGUUCUCCUGUUUAUCUUCGUUACUCCUUUGUCCUGAUACGUUUCUUCUUCAAACAUUUUGUUGAUAUUUGUGGUGAUUGGUUUUUAUGAACGAUUUGUGGUUGUUUAAUUUCUCUGUAAAUUUGUUUUUGGUACCAUAAAGGUUUAUUGUUAAUUUAGUGCAAUUUUGUUUUAAUUACUUCUGAUCUUGGGUUGUUCUGUGAUUUUGGUUAAUUGAUACUAGAGUAAUACUAAGCAAUUUUUGUUUGAUUUUUCCGGUGUCCGGCAACAGAUUUCUUGACAGAGAUGGGGGUGUUUCAGGUAUGAGAUCUUUUCUCUUGAUUACCUUUUUAAGUUCAUAUAUAUGUUUGAGUAUUUUGGAGAGCUCAUUGCUGAAACAGUAUGUCUAUAUGCACAACUUCAAGCAGCUCUAGUAUUGCUUUUGUUCUAUAAUAUAACACAAUUUAUUCUAUGAUCCAUUUGUUCAAUGUACUGAAAUUCUUCUUCUGAAAAUAAACAAAUAGACUUUCUUAAAGGAAAUGGAACAAUAAUGCAUCACUAUUUGUUGAAGUUUUGAGUUUUGACACCAUUGUUGCUUUGCCAGGCAGCAUAGGAUGGUAAUGACAGUGUUCUAACCAAAUUUACAUGAGGUUGUUGAAUAACAUGAAGGGGUGGAUUACUGAUUUAUAUAUCUACAAGAAAAGGGUUAUACAACAAGAAAGCGUAAACACAAAUUUCUUGCUUUUUCACAUGUCAAUAUUUAACGGUAUUGCCUUGGUAUGAUGCCUAUUCAAAGCAAAGUUAUGCUGCACUUGCAAUUCUUCCAUCUUGGAAAGUUGUUUGUGUUUUUCAUUUUGUUUUCAGCCACCUCCCACUCCCACUCCACCCUCAAUUACUUUUUCAUUAAGUUGCUCACGUGAGUUGAAAAGAGUACCGACUCUAUUCUUUUCAUUUUUGGUCUUUAUCCGGUUGUCAUGCAUCCUUAUAUUUCCUUUUAUAAACAUCAGUAUCAGUUAGGCUCAUGUCUGUCACAGUUUUUUGGUGCCCAGGUAUCAUGGUUCACCCGUUUUCUACUUGCUUUAGUUCAUAUGACAUCCUUUUAUGGGUAAUAAUAGUAAGAGUCUUUACCAUUUCUAUUUUAUGUUGCUGGACUCGAACUAUUAAUUGUUACUCCUCUUUCAGGCUAUGUUUUAAUCAUGGAAAUAUUUUUAGCAUUUGUAAUUUUUUGGAAAUACAUCUUGUAGUCCCAUCACAUAUGUUGUGGCUUGAUUAUGCUAUUUAUGAAUCAACCAAUGAUCUCUUUUGGAGAGAGCUGUUUGCAUUAUUUGUUGUUUAUUUGCUGGGUUUUAUUGUAAGAGUGUUGGCUGAGUAGGUUGGGUGACAAAUAAUGCAUCACUAUUUGUUGAAGCAAAAUGAUACAAGAAAAAGUUUGAUGAUUUGCAUAAUGCUUUCUUAAAGCAAAUGGAACAGUAAGCAUUAGAGUCUGACAUAUUUAGGAGUAGGGUGCAUGAGUCUCUAAAGUAAUGUAUAACCCUCUUUUUUAUUCUAGUAUUUUUUUUUGCAUUUGGGUUAAUUGCAGGAGGAAGAUUCAUAAAUAUUUAGUGGACCUGGAAAAGCUUCAAGUAAAGCUGGCAGAUGAAAGUCUACUUGAGGCUUGUGACCUUAAAAGGAGCUUAAAACUGGUGACACUGUUUGAAGCACAAUUGAAAGUAAUGAAUCUGAAUCUCGAUUCCAUCUCAAAGUAUGCAUUCUGUAUACACAAAGAAAGUAAUGAAUUUAAAUCUCGAGUCCAUCUCAAAGUAUGCAUUUUGUAUACACAUAAAGUAGGACACUUGGUGUAUUUUUCACUAUUUCACUUUGCUAAGGGCACUCAGUAUGACAAAUAUCAAAAGAAAGUAAUCCAUUAGCAUGAUAAUGUAAAAAGGUAAAUGAAUUGAGAAAGAGAGGGCAACGGUUCCCUUCUCUUAGAAUCUGAUUCAUCUCAUAUAUUUGCACAAUUAUUUGUUGAUUUUAACCAAUUAGUUUGGGUUAGAUGAGUUCAUGGUUGGAUUUAUGAUGAAUUGAGAAAGAAAGACAUUAAUGUUUUCAUCUUUUUCUUCAGACUAUGUAGCUGCUUUUUGACUGAGAUUUUGUAUGUUAUUUCCUUCUUGAUUUCAGAACUUUUCAUCUUUGUUGUGUUUUUUUCUUCUAAGAGUCGAGCCGGCGAAUAAAAGUGAAGGGGCCACAGCCUUGAAAACCAUUUUAGUACCAACAAUGAGUCUUUGCUGACCAGACGUGAUUAUAGUCCACGGAUUCCAGUCAUUAUUUACUUCAGAAAAGUCUAUUGUCCUCUCAACUUUCUCUUUGAUAAUGUAAUGCAAGUCUACAAUUG